rnacentral:rRNA from 1 species
AGAGUUUGAUCCUGGCUCAGAACGAACGCUGGCGGCGUGCCUAACACAUGCAAGUCGAACGGAGUGAAGGAGCUUGCUCUUUCAUUUAGUGGCGCACGGGUGAGUAACGCGUAGAUAAUCUGCCUUAGACUCUGGGAUAACAUCUCGAAAGGGUGCUAAUACCUGAUAAGCCCACGAUGGCGAAAGUCGUUGCGGGAAAAGGGGGCCUCUGAAUAUGCUCUUGAUCUAAGAUGAGUCUGCGUACCAUUAGCUAGUUGGUAGGGUAAGAGCCUACCAAGGCGACGAUGGUUAGCUGGUCUGAGAGGAUGAUCAGCCACACUGGAACUGAGACACGGUC